UAUAAGCACUGUCUUUGUAUGUUGGUAAAUUUAAUCUUUCCUUCGUGUACUCUCGCAGUCUAGCUAGCCUGCACUACCUAAGUACUUUUGUGCCCUUAAGCUUUGUCUUUGUAAGUUGGUUGUCAUCGUGAAGCACACCAGCAGUGUCGUCGUGAAGCACGCCAGCAGUUUCAUCAUUGUCAUCAACCAUUCUCCAUCAUUGUCGUGGGUCAUUUUCCAUCAUUGUCGUCGACCAUUCUCCAUCACUGUCGUGGGUCAGCUUCCAGGUCAUGUUCCUUUCUCCCUUUCUUUCUUAUACAUAGUCUCUAAGGUAAAAGGGCUUUGUGGUGCCCUUCUUUGAAUUUGGUUGUAUCUGCACCCCUGUUCUUUGCGCAACCAUAUAGCUUACUGCAUUUCAAAGAAACUAGCACUCGAUUAGGGUUAGAAGUAUGAUGGAACUGUGUAAAUGCAACGAGGCAUCCGUUCUGUCUACGAAAUAUUUAAUCUUUAUUGGAGACUAAAAGUCUAGAUUCCCUUUUGAUGAGAUUCAACCAACAAUCUGCGCAAACAUAUAUGACUCUUGGAGAACUUGUUAAAAUACUAAUUAGUUGGACUUAAUUUUAUUUAACUUAGGCUUAUACCUGUUUGAUGAGGGGACUGACAACAUCAUAUAGCUUUGAUCCUCAGUAUUGAAAAAAGUUGGAUCUUGUUCUGGCUUAUUAGUCUUUGUGUAUGGUGUGCAUUGCAAUAAUGCAAUUAAGAGUUCAUAAGGUUCAAAAAUAUCAGGUUUAAUUAGUACUUAUUAGGUUGAAAAGUAGGUGCAUUCAAAGCUUAUUGUAUGUAAUGUGUGUUAAAAUAAGUUGUAGAUGUUCCCUUUGAGUUUUGUUUACUUAUAAAAACAUAUAAGUUAAGCUUUUAAGAGAGUUGGUCGUUCACAUGGUAUAAAAGUCUCUUGAUCCAGUUGCAAAGAGUUUCAUCCUUGGUGCCCUCUCAUUAAGGUCUUUGAUAUAAGUUAAGCUUUUAAGAGAGUUAGCUUUCACUUUGCCUGGAAGCUAUUAAACUCAGACCUACCAAUUAACCUGAUUGGUGAGGGUAGCAGCUAACAGGGGGGCUAGUGGUAUUGAUGGGUUACUUAGCACAACCAUUGAUUUUGCUGUAGGAUGCAACAAAAAGGUAACUUUUUAGAUUUUGAGAAAUAAGGAACUUUUAUAUUAAGGAUAUUCUAUUAAGUUGUAUGUAUUAAGUUGUAUGUCUUAUUUGGGGAAAUAAUGAAAAACACAAAGUGUAUGUCCAUUGCUGCUGUAGUAUUUUGCUAUAAGAGAACAGGGAACACAGGAUUCAUUACUUCCAUUUAUUUGUUAGAAACUUCAUCUCUUUCUUUUGAUUCUUUGACAAUUGUUUUUCCAUUUAUUUUUGGCUUCAAUUGUUUACCAUAUUUUCCUUUCUCUUUUUAAUAGUUUCUUUUAAUUUCACAAUUUCAUUCAGGUGUUGUGUGUAAUUGAAGAUAUUUAUUUAUUGCAUGAUACAAAUGGUCUGACAAUUUUGAACCAGCGAUUGCAUGUUAGGCAUUAAUCAAGGUGAUUCUCUUUCACUUUUACUGCUACGAAGUGGAGUUGGUGGAGGAAUAUAUUUUAUAUUUUCUUCAAGAGCUCAUGAUUGCUUUGGGUUCUUGCAUCAUGGUUCUAGAUUAUUAGGUUGGUGGUCAAUUGAUGAAGGGAGUCAGGAAGAACAAGCACGACUAUACCACGAGGGAGCAAUUGGAUUGCAUGCGGGGUGAUCAUUAUCGCGUAAUUUGUUUCCAACUACUACUUCCCACAUGCUCUUGAUUAAUCUCGAGGUGGGGAUAUCAUCUAGUGCUGCUGCAGUUAACAAAGCUUUCUACAUCGGUCGUAAAAGGACCGUCGUAGAACACGUGACAAAUGAAGUCGUGCUUACGCCAACAACGAUGUAGAAAGCAGUGCUUUCUACAUUGGUGCUGUGACACCCUCUAUCCCGACAUAUGUAUAAAUAAAUAAAAUAUAUAAAAAUAUCGGUAACCAAA